rnacentral:rRNA from 1 species
GACGAACGCUGGCGGCGUGCCUAACACAUGCAAGUCGAGCGAGUUGAUUCUCUUCGGAGAUGAAGCUAGCGGCGGACGGGUGAGUAACACGUGGGCAACCUGCCUCAUAGAGGGGAAUAGCCUCCCGAAAGGGAGAUUAAUACCGCAUAAGAUUGUAGCUUCGCAUGAAGUAGCAAUUAAAGGAGUAAUCCGCUAUGAGAUGGGCCCGCGGCGCAUUAGCUAGUUGGUGAGGUAACGGCUCACCAAGGCGACGAUGCGUAGCCGACCUGAGAGGGUGAUCGGGCCACAUUGGGACUGAGACACGGCCCAGACUCCUACGGGAGGCAGCAGUGGGGAAUAUUGCACAAUGGGGGGAACCCUGAUGCAGCAACGCCGCGUGAGUGAUGACGGCCUUCGGGUUGUAAA